GACGAACGCUGGCGGCGUGCUUAACACAUGCAAGUCGAACGGAAAGGCCCUGCUUUUGUGGGGUGCUCGAGUGGCGAACGGGUGAGUAACACGUGAGUAACCUGCCCUUGACUUUGGGAUAACUUCAGGAAACUGGGGCUAAUACCGGAUAGGAGCUCCUGCUGCAUGGUGGGGGUUGGAAAGUUUCGGCGGUUGGGGAUGGACUCGCGGCUUAUCAGCUUGUUGGUGGGGUAGUGGCUUACCAAGGCUUUGACGGGUAGCCGGCCUGAGAGGGUGACCGGCCACAUUGGGACUGAGAUACGGCCCAGACUCCUACGGGAGGCAGCAGUGGGGAAUAUUGCACAAUGGGCGGAAGCCUGAUGCAGCAACGCCGCGUGCGGGAUGACGGCCUUCGGGUUGUAAGCCGCUUUCGCCUGUGACGAAGCGUGAGUGACGGUAAUGGGUAAAGAAGCACCGGCUAACUACGUGCCAGCAGCCGCGGUGAUACGUAGGGUGCGAGCGUUGUCCGGAUUUAUUGGGCGUAAAGGGCUCGUAGGUGGUUGAUCGCGUCGGAAGUGUAAUCUUGGGGCUUAACCCUGAGCGUGCUUUCGAUACGGGUUGACUUGAGGAAGGUAGGGGAGAAUGGAAUUCCUGGUGGAGCGGUGGAAUGCGCAGAUAUCAGGAGGAACACCAGUGGCGAAGGCGGUUCUCUGGGCCUUUCCUGACGCUGAGGAGCGAAAGCGUGGGGAGCGAACAGGCUUAGAUACCCUGGUAGUCCACGCUGUAAACGGUGGGUACUAGGUGUGGGGUCCAUUCCACGGGUUCCGUGCCGUAGCUAACGCUUUAAGUACCCCGCCUGGGGAGUACGGCCGCAAGGCUAAAACUCAAAGGAAUUGACGGGGCCCCGCACAAGCGGCGGAGCAUGCGGAUUAAUUCGAUGCAACGCGUAGAACCUUACCUGGGUUUGACAUGGAUCGGGAGUGCUCAGAGAUGGGUGUGCCUCUUUUGGGGUCGGUUCACAGGUGGUGCAUGGCUGUCGUCAGCUCGUGUCGUGAGAUGUUGGGUUAAGUCCCGCAACGAGCGCAACCCUUGUUCACUGUUGCCAGCACGUUAUGGUGGGGACUCAGUGGAGACCGCCGGGGUCAACUCGGAGGAAGGUGGGGAUGACGUCAAGUCAUCAUGCCCCUUAUGUCCAGGGCUUCACGCAUGCUACAAUGGCUGGUACAGAGAGUGGCGAGCCUGUGAGGGUGAGCGAAUCUCGGAAAGCCGGUCUCAGUUCGGAUUGGGGUCUGCAACUCGACCUCAUGAAGUCGGAGUCGCUAGUAAUCGCAGAUCAGCAACGCUGCGGUGAAUAAAUUCCCGGGGCU
rnacentral:rRNA from 1 species